CAGUCGCCGCGGUAAUACGGAGGGUGCAAGCGUUAAUCGGAAUUACUGGGCGUAAAGCGCACGCAGGCGGUUUGUUAAGUCAGAUGUGAAAUCCCCGAGCUUAACUUGGGAACUGCAUUUGAAACUGGCAAGCUAGAGUCUUGUAGAGGGGGGUAGAAUUCCAGGUGUAGCGGUGAAAUGCGUAGAGAUCUGGAGGAAUACCGGUGGCGAAGGCGGCCCCCUGGACAAAGACUGACGCUCAGGUGCGAAAGCGUGGGGAGCAAACAGGAUUAGAUACCCGUGUAGUCCCUGUCUCUUAUAC
rnacentral:rRNA from 1 species